UACGGGGGGGGCAAGCGUUGUUCGGAAUUACUGGGCGUAAAGGGCUCGUAGGCGGCCAACUAAGUCAGACGUGAAAUCCCUCGGCUUAACCGGGGAACUGCGUCUGAUACUGGAUGGCUUGAGGUUGGGAGAGGGAUGCGGAAUUCCAGGUGUAGCGGUGAAAUGCGUAGAGAUCGGAAGGAACGUCAAUGGCGAAGGCAGCCACCUGGCAUCAUACUGACGCUGAGGCGCGAAAGCGUGGGGAGCGAACAGG
rnacentral:rRNA from 1 species